GGCCCGUUAGCUCAGUUGGCUAGAGCACUCCCUUGACACGGUAGGGGUCACUGGUUAGAGUCCAGUACGGUCCACCA
rnacentral:tRNA from 1 species